GUCUACUUUAAAUUCUUCUUAGGGUUGACUGCCCUUGAAGAAAUACCAAGGAAGAAGCACUUCUGAUAUCUGAUCACCCAACAUGCAGUUUUAUUUUUCUGGACUAAGAUGUGAUGGUUACCUGCAAAUUUGGAAUCCAAUUUCAUUUGAUGUUGAGGUGACAUGGGCGCCGCUCCAACUCUGCAAGUGUGUCAUUUGUACUGCUUUGGUGAGACAGGGGAUCUGAGCUUCCACGGAAAUAUGUUUGGGUAAGAAUCUAUUCUGAGUGAGACUGGCCUGGAAUCUUAAAGAGGACAAACAGAGACACAAGCCUGAAUGUUCAGCAACAUUGGCUGGCCAGCUGGGCCCUGCAUUCAAAGCAUUCUGUCAGGCUCUUUUCUGAUAUGGCCUUUAUGUAGAUAUUAGCA
rnacentral:lncRNA from 1 species